AUUGAACGCUGGCGGCAUGCUUUACACAUGCAAGUCGAACGGUAACAGGUUAAGCUGACGAGUGGCGAACGGGUGAGUAAUGUAUCGGAACGUGCCCAGUCGUGGGGGAUAACGUAGCGAAAGCUACGCUAAUACCGCAUACGAUCUCUGGAUGAAAGCGGGGGACCGCAAGGCCUCGCGCGCUUGGAGCGGCCGAUAUCAGAUUAGGUAGUUGGUGGGGUAAAGGCCCACCAAGCCAACGAUCUGUAGCUGGUCUGAGAGGACGACCAGCCACACUGGGACUGAGACACGGCCCAGACUCCUACGGGAGGCAGCAGUGGGGAAUUUUGGACAAUGGGGGCAACCCUGAUCCAGCAAUGCCGCGUGCAGGAAGAAGGCCUUCGGGUUGUAAACUGCUUUUGUACGGAACGAAAAGGCUCUGGUUAAUACCUGGGGCUCAUGACGGUACCGUAAGAAUAAGCACCGGCUAACUACGUGCCAGCCGCCGCUGUAA
rnacentral:rRNA from 1 species